rnacentral:rRNA from 1 species
UAGGGAAUCUUGCGCAAUGGGCGAAAGCCUGACGCAGCCAUGCCGCGUGAAUGAUGAAGGUCUUAGGAUUGUAAAUUCUUUCACCGGGGAAGAUAAUGACGGUACCCGGAGAAGAAGCCCCGGCUAACUUCGUGCCAGCAGCCGCGGUAAUACGAAGGGGGCUAGCGUUGCUCGGAAUUACUGGGCGUAAAGGGCGCGUAGGCGGACAUUUAAGUCAGGGGUGAAAGCCCGGGGCUCAACCUCGGAAUUGCCUUUGAUACUGGAUGUCUUGAGUUCGGGAGAGGUGAGUGGAAUGCCGAGUGUAGAGGUGAAAUUCGUAGAUAUUCGGCGGAACACCAGUGGCGAAGGCGACUCACUGGCCCGAUACUGACGCUGAGGCGCGAAAGCGUGGGGAGCAAACAGGAUUAGAUACCCUGGUAGUCCACGCCGUAAACGAUGAGUGCUAGUUGUCGGCAUGCAUGCAUGUCGGUGACGCAGCUAACGCAUUAAGCACUCCGCCUGGGGAGUACGGUCGCAAGAUUAAAAACUUAAAUGAAUUGAC